rnacentral:lncRNA from 1 species
UGCAAAUCUGCUUUACAUCCUCUCUGUUCACUCAACAUUGGUUUUGUCAUUGUUAAAGCAACAGCUCUAACCUAAUCUAAUUUUCCAAGUACCUUGGUGUGGCAGGUUUUGCUGUUAUCUCUAAUGCUGUUAAAGUAACUUCGGGUCCCAGGGAAGAGCUAUUCUGUCUGACUUGCAAACAGAAAAACGUGUUUCCUGGGAUGAGUCCUGCUAUCUUCUGAAGCGUCUGGAGACAGAUGUCAAACUGAGGUCAGAUUCAGCAGUACUUCCUUAUGCCUUGGUCAUCCGUGAUUGUAGUCAUCAGUUCAAAGACAUACAUGGCUCUCAUCAGUAAGGAGAGGUUGCAGUAGAAAAGACGUUUCUUAGCAUCCAGCUAUCCAACAUCAUCAAUGAAAGACAGAAACCUGAAGCUUUAGAGACUGAACACAACAGAAGAACAAUAGGAUGGAUGCAAAGUCUGGGUUAACUCUGUGUGUAUUUAAAAAAGAUUUAAUAUGCUUCAUGUGGGUACAGAUCGCAUGAGAUUAAAGGCAAACAGAAAAUAACAUCAUGUUUUAUAUC